CCUACGGGUGGCAGCAGUGGGGAAUAUUGGACAAUGGGGGGAACCCUGAUCCAGCCAUGCCGCGUGUGUGAAGAAGGCCCUCGGGUUGUAAAGCACUUUCAGUGAGGAAGAACGCCUGGUGGUUAAUACCCAUCAGGAAAGACAUCACUCACAGAAGAAGCACCGGCUAACUCCGUGCCAGCAGCCGCGGUAAUACGGAGGGUGCGAGCGUUAAUCGGAAUUACUGGGCGUAAAGCGCGCGUAGGUGGCUUGAUAAGCCGGUUGUGAAAGCCCCGGGCUCAACCUGGGAACGGCAUCCGGAACUGUCAAGCUAGAGUGCAGGAGAGGAAGGUAGAAUUCCCGGGGUAGCGGUGAAAUGCGUAGAGAUCGGGAGGAAUACCAGUGGCGAAGGCGGCCUUCUGGACUGACACUGACACUGAGGUGCGAAAGCGUGGGUAGCAAACAGGAUUAGAUACCCUUGUAGUC
rnacentral:rRNA from 1 species